CUGACAUGUGUGCAAGUCAUCGAGUGUGGAAACUCAUUGGGCGUAAGGAAGCUAAUUGAUGGGAUCCUUAUUACUGUUUGGUGCAUCGUCGACCGACCUGGAUCUUCUGUGAAGGGUUCGAGUGUGAGCAUACCUGUCGGGACCCGAAAGAUGGUGGACUAUGCCCAAGGCAAAGCCAGAGGAAACUCUGGUGGAGGCUCGUCGCGAUACUGACGUGCAAAUCGUUCGUCUGACUUGGGUAUAGGGGCGAAAGACUAAUCGAACCAUCUAGUAGCUGG
rnacentral:ncRNA from 1 species